UACGGGGGGAGCAAGCGUUGUUCGGAUUUACUGGGCGUAAAGGGCGCGUAGGCGGUCGUGACAAGUCACUUGUGAAAUCUCCGGGCUUAACUCGGAACGGUCAAGUGAUACUGUCGGACUAGAGUACAGAAGGGGCAACUGGAAUUCUCGGUGUAGCGGUGAAAUGCGUAGAUAUCGAGAGGAACACCUGCGGCGAAGGCGGGUUGCUGGGCUGACACGUGACGCUGAGGCGCGAAAGCCAGGGAGCAAACGGG
rnacentral:rRNA from 1 species